CCCUGUGGCGCAGAGGAUAGCGCUUUGGA
rnacentral:sRNA from 1 species